GUAACCGCAUGUAAUAGGUUGCAGUCAAAAUACAGUUUCCUAGGAUGAUCUUUGGAACCAUAGCUCUCAUCAGUGUGCCUGAGUUUGGUUGUGAGGGAGUCAGACAAGAACAUCAAUGGGUUUGAGGUGUUAAAUUCUUGAAGCUCUCCCAUUGCCUGAUCUCCCAUAAUCACGUUUAUACCUUGGAAGUCUCCCUUUGGGAUCAGCAUGUAGGAUGGAUUUAAGCGAAUUGGACUGGAGAGACUGCAGCCAUUGUAGAAGUACAGAUAUGGGACUCUUCAACAUCUUGAAGUUCAAUAUUCUUCAUCAUGAACUUUUCCUGACUAAAUGCUGACUUGCAAAAACCCCUUUCCUCUUGCUAAUUUGUAAUUCUACAAUUCUUCCAUUGAGUGCAACUCUCUAUGUUCAACCUGAUUCAUUUCCAUUUUUUUCCAUGGUUUUCUUUUAACCUGGGAUAUAAAAACUCUAAUUUCUGUGUUGUGUUAGAUGUGUAGUCAAUACAAAUUAGGGAAUACAGGGCAAUUAUUUGAACUAUAUUAGUUUAAAACAAGUGGUUGAGAAUUUUUUUUCCUCUUCAUCCAGUGGAAAAAAAUGAAAAAACUUGGUCAACAAACAAACCAAUUGAUUGGAUAUGAUGAAGUUAGUGCAAUAGUUUACUGGG
rnacentral:lncRNA from 1 species